AAGGUUACGGAGAUAGAGGUGGAUACGGAGAAAGUUCUAGUGCUGCUGGAGCUGCUGCUGCUGCUGGGGCAGGAUCUGGUGCUGGACCACAAAGACAAGACCAAGGGGCUGCUGCCGCUGCUGCUGCCUCUGCUGCAGGAGGGUACCAUAAAAUCUUAGCCUGGGUGGUCUAGUAUUUUGCCCGGCCCUAGGGAAAAACAUAUAUGAAGUCUUUCGCAAAUUAAAAAUCAACUUCUCA